AUUGAACGCUGGCGGCAGGCUUAACACAUGCAAGUCGAGCGGGGGAAGGUAGCUUGCUACCGGACCUAGCCGCGGACGGGUGAGUAAUGCUUAGGAAUCUGCCUAUUAGUGGGGGACAACAUCUCGAAAGGGAUGCUAAUACCGCAUACGUCCUACGGGAGAAAGCAGGGGAUCUUCGGACCUUGCGCUAAUAGAUGAGCCUAAGUCGGAUUAGCUAGUUGGUGGGGUAAAGGCCUACCAAGGCGACGAUCUGUAGCGGGUCUGAGAGGAUGAUCCGCCACACUGGGACUGAGACACGGCCCAGACUCCUACGGGAGGCAGCAGUGGGGAAUAUUGGACAAUGGGGGGAACCCUGAUCCAACCAUGCCGCGUGUGUGAAGAAGGCCUUAUGGUUGUAAAGCACUUUAAGCGAGGAGGAGGCUACUUUAGUUAAUACCUAGAGAUAGUGGACGUUACUCGCAGAAUAAGCACCGGCUAACUCUGUGCCAGCAGCCGCAGUAA
rnacentral:rRNA from 1 species